rnacentral:lncRNA from 1 species
AUGCCAUCGACAAAUUGCCAUCGCAUCAUGGUACCUUUCAGCCAUAUACCGCGGGCUCCCUGUAUAACUUGCAGGUAAUAUGACUCUCUUUCCUAUUGAUUUAGCAUCCGUGUCACCUUUCAUGACUGCAUCUUGUACAUUGUUGUAUAGGUCUGCUCUAAUGACCUUCUGGUUUAAGCGAAACCAAAGCAACCUCUCCUCUUCUAUUGAUGUAUAAGCGUCCACGAUAUACUGGUGAAACAACCUUUUGGACCUCACAAUAACCAUGCCCUCUGCUAAGCGAGUUUGUAUCUGGUAGGCAAAGUAUUCUCUCUUUGUGAUGUAUUCCCUUCUCCUUGUGUUUCCAUCCGUAUUGGUGACAGGUAUGUUUUCAUUGAAGCCAAUCUGUCCGUAAGGAAAUAGUAUUGGAUAUUGCAGGGUCAUAAAGAGUGGGUGCAUAUCACUUAUAUGUUGCAAUCCGGAUGCUUUGUGUUGGACCACAAUGUCUCUCUCGCCCAUAUCCUCUGUAAAGUCACCAACGAUCAGACCAGCAAUUUCAUCAGUUUGAGGCAUAUCAUAUUGACGAUCACGCUUUGACUUGCCUUUCAGUCUUACGCAAAAUUCCUGGCAGCUAUCAGUUUCAUGGAUGUCUCUAGCUUUUCUGAAAAUCUUAGUAAGACAGUUGUGCGUGUCCAUUGUUUCUAUCAGCGCUUUCACAAUUUUUGGAUCUAGCUCACCAACUUUGGCUGUACGUUUCACUGUUGAAAUUCUAUUCUGAACCUCAUUGGCGGUGUUGACAAUGUAGAGUUGAUUGAAUUUAGGAGGUUGUCCUGCUUGAGGUACCAAAGAGCCAAUCCUGUGUGCAUUUUGCCCAUGGAUCCUGAACGUAAAAGGCCCCGUUUUGUGCAUCACAGAAUGAUCAAUCUGAGCUCCCAUUGAAGUGAAUGCAAGGAUGGAGUUAUAUGUCCGGAUAUCGUGUUGGAAAUGGGUAGAGGUAAGGAGGAGUGUUUUCAAGACAUGAGGAGCUUCUGGUUCUGGUGGGAGUCUUACACGACCUUGUUGACAG